rnacentral:rRNA from 1 species
UGGGGAAUUUUCCGCAAUGGGCGAAAGCCUGACGGAGCAAGACCGCGUGGGGGAAGAAGGCUCUUGGGUUGUAAACUCCUUUUCUCUGGGAAGAACCAAAUGACGGUACCAGAGGAAUCAGCAUCGGCUAACUCCGUGCCAGCAGCCGCGGUAAGACGGAGGAUGCAAGCGUUAUCCGGAAUGAUUGGGCGUAAAGCGUCCGCAGGUGGCAGUUCAAGUCUGCUGUCAAAGACCGGGGCUCAACCUCGGAAAGGCAGUGGAAACUGAACAGCUAGAGUAUGGUAGGGGCAAAGGGAAUUCCUGGUGUAGCGGUGAAAUGCGUAGAGAUCAGGAAGAACAUCGGUGGCGAAGGCGCUUUGCUGGACCAUAACUGACACUCAGGGACGAAAGCUAGGGGAGCGAAUGGGAUUAGAUACCCCAGUAGUCCUAGCCGUAAACGAUGGAUACUAGGUGUUGUCUGUAUCGACCCGGACAGUGCCGUAGCUAACGCGUUAAGU